UGGGGAAUAUUGCACAAUGGGCGAAAGCCUGAUGCAGCGACGCCGCGUGAGGGAUGGAGGCCUUCGGGUUGUAAACCUCUUUCAGUAAGGGUGAAGGCUCUCUUUUGUGCAGGGUUGACAGUACUUGCAGAAGAAGCGCCGGCUAACUACGUGCCAGCAGCCGCGGUAAUACGUAGGGCGCGAGCGUUGUCCGGAAUUAUUGGGCGUAAAGGGCUUGUAGGUGGCGUGUCGCGUCUGCUGUGAAAUUCCAGGGCUUAACUUUGGGAUUGCAGUGGGUACGGGCAUGCUAGAGUGCAGUAGGGGAGAUUGGAAUUCCUGGUGUAGCGGUGAAAUGCGCAGAUAUCAGGAGGAACACCGGUGGCGAAGGCGGGUCUCUGGGCUGUUACUGACGCUGAGGAGCGAAAGCGUGGGGAGCGAACAGG
rnacentral:rRNA from 1 species